CGUCAGGAUCGAUCCAGUGA
rnacentral:misc_RNA from 1 species